rnacentral:rRNA from 1 species
UGGGGAAUAUUGCACAAUGGGCGCAAGCCUGAUGCAGCCAUGCCGCGUGUGUGAAGAAGGCCUUCGGGUUGUAAAGCACUUUCAGCGAGGAGGAAGGUGGUGAACUUAAUACGUUCAUCAAUUGACGUUACUCGCAGAAGAAGCACCGGCUAACUCCGUGCCAGCAGCCGCGGUAAUACGGAGGGUGCAAGCGUUAAUCGGAAUUACUGGGCGUAAAGCGCACGCAGGCGGUUUGUUAAGUCAGAUGUGAAAUCCCCGGGCUCAACCUGGGAACUGCAUUUGAAACUGGCAAGCUAGAGUCUCGUAGAGGGGGGUAGAAUUCCAGGUGUAGCGGUGAAAUGCGUAGAGAUCUGGAGGAAUACCGGUGGCGAAGGCGGCCCCCCUGGACGAAGACUGACGCUCAGGUGCGAAAGCGUGGAGAGCAAACAGGAUUAGAUACCCUGGUAGUCCACGCUGUAAAACGAUGUCGAUUUGGAGGUUGUG